CCCCUCCUUUUGGUAUCAGAGCUUUUGUUCCGGUGCUGGUGUUUUCAGUAUAUUUCUUCAGAUUUUAGAAGGUAUAAUUCUCUGAAUUUUUAGAAAAUACUUACUUGUUUUAUGAUUUUUAUAAUUUUACUUGUAGAUCUAGAAAAAAUAUUCUAUAGUUUUACAUUUUAUAAAGAAAUAGAAGAGAUUUUUGAAUACGGUGUAGAAUUAAUUUCUUUUGAAAAAGAUAAAUCUAUAGACUAUUUAAUUGCUAUAUUACAAGUAACUAAAAAUUUACACCCAG
rnacentral:lncRNA from 1 species